AGCCAUGCGAGUCGAGAGGUGUAAGACCUCGGCAUACUGCUCAGUAACACGUGGUUAACCUGCCCUAAGGUGGAGAAUACUCCCGGGAAACUGGGGUUAAUGCUCCAUAGUGGAUAUGUCCUGGAAUGGUAUAUCCUCGAAAGAUCCGUCGCCUUAGGAUGGGACUGCGUCCGAUUAGGUUGUUGGCGGGGUAACGGCCCACCAAGCCAUUGAUCGGUACGGGUUGUGGGAGCAAGAUCCCGGAGAUGGAUUCUGAGACAUGAAUCCAGGCCCUACGGGGCGCAGCAGGCGCGCAAACUUCACAAUGCGAGCAAUCGUGAUAAGGAAACCCUGAGUGCCUGUCGAUGCAGGCUGUUCAUAUAUCUAAAUCAUAUGUGAAGAAAGGGCAGGGCAAGACCGGUGCCAGCCGCCGCGGUAAUACCGGCUGCUCGAGUGAUGGCCACUAUUACUGGGUUUAAAGCGUCCGUAGCUUGACUGUUAGGUCCCUUGGGAAAUCUUCGCGCUUAACGUGGAGGCGUCUAAGAGAUACCGGCAGUCUUGGAACUGGGAGAGGUAAACCGUACUUCGGGGGUAGGAGUGAAAUCUUGUAAUCCUCGAGGGACGACCUAUGGCGAAGGCAGUUUACCAGAACAGCUUCGACAGUGAGGGACGAAAGCUGGGGGAGCAAACGGGAUUAGAUACCCCGGUAGUCCCAGCCGUAAACAAUGUGCGUUAGGUGUGUCGGUAACCACGCGUUACUGAUGCGCCGAAGAGAAAUCGUGAAACGCACCACCU
rnacentral:rRNA from 1 species